rnacentral:rRNA from 1 species
UAUCUUAGUGGCGACGGGUGAGUAACGCGUGGGUAACCUGCCUUAUACAGGGGGAUAACACUUAGAAAUAGGUGCUAAUACCGCAUAAGCGCACGGGGCUGCAUGGCCCAGUGUGAAAACUCCGGUGGUAUAAGAUGGACCCGCGUCUGAUUAGCUUGUUGGCGGGUAACGGCCCACCAAGGCGACGAUCAGUAGCCGGCCUGAGAGGGUGGACGGCCACAUUGGGACUGAGACACGGCCCAAACUCCUACGGAAGGCAGCAG